UGGUCGCAUGAUGUAGAGUAACAUACUCAACCCCGAACUUCAGCCGUUUUAUGCAUUGCACAGCAGGCACAUCUAUCAUAUUUGAACUGGGCUUUACUCCGUACACAGAUUUUAUUUUAAUGUUUGCCAAAGCAGCCAGAAUUUGUCUUUUGUCGAAUUGCUUUUGGUGGAGGUAACCUUAUAAGCAAAUGAUGAUCGAAUCCCUCGAGAUUCUAGCGGGCGCCACUACCUUAGAUCUAUUGGGAGAUGUCAAUAAUAACGACAAUUUCCCAGCUCCCAUAUAUGUCUCAAGAUGUAAUUGUUAGGAGGCGAGGUUGAUACACCGAAACGUGGAAAACUUCGAGGAGAUUCGAAUGUAACUGUAGUACCUUUCAUCCAGGCCAUGGGACAACAUUCAAUGAACAAAUGGAGA
rnacentral:sRNA from 1 species